CUGCUGGUUUCCUCCACCUCCCCUGGGACCACGGGGGCCUUUGCCUCCAACAGAGUGAGGCAGGGAGGACAGUCAGAGGGAGGAGGAUGGAGAGAGAGAGUCACGAAGAGAGGGAGAUGGGGAGAGAGAGGCAGGAUGGGAAGCGGGGACUGGACAGGAGCCCGAGGCUGGGAGGGCGCACUAGUGGGGAGCCCGGGGGAGCCAGGGUGUCGUCUGGGUCUCAGCCAUCGAAUGAUGCUACUGGCUAGGAAUGCCUGAGACACUCGCCUGGGCCCCCCAGCCGUUCCGCCGCCACCAAUGGGGCCAGCGUUGUGGUCGCACUGGCCUUCGUGGGUUAUGACUGUGGGAUGUGCCUCAGUGAAAACCGUCAGGGAACUCUGAAGAACAAGAUUUAUUACUGACAGUUCCUGGAGGGUCAACGGCACGCCCCGAGGGCCACACAACGGGUGUGCCACACAGCGAGGUCGCAGGCCGAGGCUGAGGCUCAGAGAGGGGAAGCCACCAGCCCCAGAUGGCCCAGCGAGGGAAGGAAGGAGCCCUGUCCAUGAACGAUGUAGCUCAAGGAGAAGCGGAGGUGACAGGUGCACAGAGAUGGAGACAGAGACACAGACGCAGACAGAUCUUACAGAGCUCGAACGUGGAGUCCAUGGCCCAGUACAGCUGCAGCUGCUCCUGGCAGCUGGUGACGAAGCCCACUGUGAGAGGGGCGACCGCCCACGGCCACAGGGAGGCCCGGAGAGCCACAGACCAGGGCUGUGGGCAGGUCUGAGCACCAGGCUCCAGGGCAGCCGAGGAGGCUCUGCACCCUCUGGGUCUCCCAUCCAGGUCAGACUUGCACCUUCAAACCAACAGUGGGGUCCCAAGUCCCUUAGGGGGGUGGCUCUGCCUGGUCUGGACCCGCGUGCGGUUGUCCCACAAACACACUGUGUGACCUGGGCUGGCCUCAGUUUUCCCUUCUGUAAAAUCACACCAGAGACGGGCAGUGAGGAUUAACUAACUACCACAGAGCUCGUAACAACGCGCAGCGGCCCUCCUCCACGGCCAGACGCCUGACGAGAGGGCACUGCCAUGCUCCGCUUUGGACCCGGAACGCCGCCUGCCUCACGGAGGGAUGGGGAGAGCUCACGGAGGGGUGGGGAGAGCUGGGUGUCCCUUCCCUCUGAGAGAUUGAAGAUGUUCACACUUACUCUGGAAUCCUCUCCAAUGAGCUAUGACCUGGAACUCCGGACAGCAUAGCGGGUAAGGGCCCAUAUUCUGAGCCUGGCUGCCUGGCUUCAAAACCCAGCUCGUUAGCUCAGCAGCUGUGUGACCUGGGCAAGUGUCUCUGUGCCUCAGUUUCCUCAGCGGUCAAAUAGGGAGAUAAUAAUAUAUGCGUGCAUAUGUAAAUUUACCCAGGCACUAAAAUUUACUCGUAAUCCCAAAAUCAACAGCCGUGGCACUUUUGUGGUCAUCGGUGGACAUGCGCACAGUGGCAACAAAUUUGAGUCACCCCACAGGCAUAGCCCCAGGUGAGGCUGAACAAGGCGACAGCUCGUUCCAACUCUCGUGCUGUAAACCAGUGUCCUUUUCACAGUCUAUUCAAUGUCACGUUUCUUGCAGUUCUGUGCUUUCUCUUGGUGAUUUCGCUAUUUAAAAUGCCUCCUAGGCCCAGGGCUGAUGCACCGUCUAGCAUUCCUAGCCACAGGAAGGCUGCAGUGUGCCUUACGGAGAAAAUACGUGAGUUACAGAAGCUUCGUUCAGGCAUGAGUUAUGUGCUGUUGACCGUGUGUUCAAAGUUAAUGAUAUAAUGAUACAUAUUACGUGAGGUUUUUC